AGAUGUCGUCUGGAGAUAGAGAGGAGGACCAAGAUGCGGCGUGUCUAUUUAGAAUGAUCUUUCAGCAAGACAACAGAGAUGAGGCUUCAUGAGCUUGAUUGACACAAGGGUGUGUUCAAAGAAGGAGGCGAUCGGAUCCUCUUUAUAAACACUUCAGCUACAGCACUUCUCCACUUGUCUGCUCAUCAAAGCCAAACAAGCCUUGGAGAGGGAGAGGAGACAAAAAAGUACAUGGCAAUGUGGCUCCCAACAGCGGUGGUUGUGUUUCUGGGUGCAGCACCUGACCUCUUCUUCAGCCAGCAGUCCUUGGAUGAGUCCUUCAGUGACACCAGAGCAGUUGAACCAUCUCACUGCUCACAGGGAUUCGUGGAUGACAAAGCCUUUCCUUGGAACGACAUUCUGAUGGUGUAUGAACGGGACCUACAUCAUUGCCAGCUUGCCUGCACUCAGAACCCUGGGUGUGCCUACUUCAGCUACGUGGUUAAAGAAUUCCGAUGCUAUCAAAAGUACACAGAUGGUGAACCAACUACAAUAGACAUUCCAGGAGUCAUAUCUGGUUACACAAGGAAUGGGUGCAGGGAAGGCCCACCAGUAGAGAUACCAGUGUUUACAUUGGUUAGCGAGGAGAGGAGCAUGGCUGAAGCCCAGAAGUUCUGCAGGGAGUACUACGAUGAACAGGCCACCAUCUUCAAUGCUGAGGACCAGACAGCAGCUCUGAGAGCAGUGUCAGCACAGAGCCUCACUGACGCUGUCUGGGUCCACUCCCAUUACCGCGCCUUUUGGCCCCAACUGGCCUAUUGGAAUACACCAAAUGCAAAGUGUAUUGUUCAUGAACUUAAAGCAAAAGUUUGGAUUUUGAGAUAUUGCACAAUUUCAUGUCACUUUGUGUGCCAGAAAAGUAAGUUUAUUUUGCAUCCCUUCUCCCUACUACUCCAAAGUAAUGAAAACACUUUACUUGAAGGGGGGUAGUCAUUCUUAACAUCUUGGUAAAGUACAUAGUACAUUUAAAAUAAUGUCACCUUUAUGAGUUACUGUAUGCAUCCUUUGACAAUCAUCUAGGUGCAUUUAUUUAACAUCAAUGUCCAUGUCUUUUCGGGCUUUUUAAAGACAAUUGUAUUUUCUGUCCUUAGGCACACAAUUAAACUCAGAGCUAAAAUACUACAUGGGUCAAGGUUCAUUGACGUGGGAGGGGGCACAGACGGCUUGCCGAGCCAAUGGAGACAACUUAGCGAGCAUCCUCACCCAAGAGGAUUACACAGCAUUCCAAAGCAUAACAGAGACACGGCAGUUUGAUAUGUGGAUCGGACUCUACUGGAAGACUUCUACCAGAAUGUGGGAGUGGUCCAAUGGGGACCCCUUUCCAUACUGUGUGUCUGAGCCUCAACUGGGUGCUAGUAACUGCUGCUCCCUGACCCAUAAGGGCCAUUGGCAGACUGAAAACGUCACCCUGGAGAAGACAGACUGCUCUCUGAAGAGACCGUUCCUUUGCACUGGAAAAAAGAGAAUCAAGCAGACCAUUGUAAGGAUGUCUCUGAAAUCUAACACAGGAGCUGACCUCAAUGACCCAGUGGUAAAGGAACAUAUGUUGGAGCAGAUAAGAAAGGAGUUUGUGAAGAAUGGUGACUUCAUCCAAGGCCUACGCUGGAGAGAACUGCCGAAUGGAGAUGUUUUUCACAAAACAGUUGAACAUGGAAGCUCUGAUGAAGGUCAGUGUGGGUCUGGAUGAAGAGGACCAUUAAAGGCGAUGCAGAAAGAGAGGCAUGGAAGGUCCAAGGAAACCACAUUAUAUAUUAUAUACCUUAUAAUACGUAAUACAAUAUUAUUCUUGUUAAUGUUAUUCAAGUUAUGACAGUUCGAUUUGUCGUAUGAAGGUAAAAUUAUGAUGUCAAUUUACAUUAGGAAUGAUUUAGACUUUACAAUGUUUGACUAAUAUAACACCAAAUUAUAAUCUAAGAUAUUUGUAGGUGUAUGAAUGUAAUGUAAUAAUGUUUGUUGUACAUCAGGGCAAUUUGGUUAGUGAAGAGAAGCGGAAUAAAAAGGACAUUUGUGGGUUUUCAAGUCUGUUGUUAAGGACAUUUCAGUCAGGGACUUGCAUUGUAAUGAGAAAAAUUAUGUUACACACUCAAUUAUGGAUGCGACUGUUGACAUUCUUCAAUAAAAGAUGUUUGAUUAGUGACAUCAGUAUUACCAUUAUUGUCACUCUCCAGCAAGAAUG